AGGAGGAGCUGGGAGCAUAGUCAGCGCCAACACUCCGCUCAGCGCGGCUGCAAACGCACCUACUACAAACGCGGGAAGGUUGCCGCCCCCAAAUCGCGCGUCCCAUGGCCCGCUCGCUACCGACACCAUCAUCUGUUUCACCCCACAUAUAAUUAGUGCCAUUUCCAAAAGUAAACACAUUAAUUGUGCUUUCUUAAUAAACUAAUUUACCUGCGGUACAACAAUUGCAAGAUUUAGAACUCCAAGAGAAAGUCCUGAGUAAAUCCAAACAGAGGGUCACAACUUAAUAGCCGUAAAAUUAAUUCAAAUUGGGUACGGCCGGUAUCUUAAUUUUAAUUUUCUUUUACCUUGGCCUGCACCAGAACUGUGGCAAAAUAUGGAAGCCAGAGCAAAUGGAAUGCUGUAGGUGAUCUACAAAAAAAUUAAUAAACAAGAGUUAAGUAAGAUCAUAUAGAUUACGGUUCAACCAAGUCCUUGCAUUUUUAUAAUUAAUGGAAUUUAAUGGUGAAGAAAUUAAAAAAACAGGAAAUAUGCACACCUCUUAAUUUCUAGGUUAUUUAAGAAAGAGAUAUCAUUUAACGUAUUAAAAAAAAUCAAAUUCUAAAACACUUUCAAUAGAAAGUUUUCAGUCUUUCUUAAGAAGCAGUAGUCCGGUUAAAAUAAAUAAAUAAAAACGAGGGUCAACACACACAUGAUAGCAAAAUCUGAAAAGAUUUGAAGUAGACAAGAAAAGAAAGUAAAUGAAAUGCUAAUCCUGUAGUUAUUAUUAAUAAAACAAAAGAGUAUGGCAUUCAAGAGGCGCGUAAAUGAGAAACCACUUACCGCAAGAGGUACCCCCAUAACAGCGAACAGAGAUAACGCUCCAGCCUUGAUGCCGAUCGGCGGUGGGUGAAGCUCUCCGCCAAGGCUGUGCCGCCACGACGCUGCCAACUUGCUAACAAGUACCGUCAGUGCCAAGCACAGCGCCAGCAGAAAAUUGACGCCACCCCAGAGGCGCUUCACGCCGCCAACCCCACGGCCAAAGAACUCAACUCCGAGAGACAUCAACCCCAGAACCACAGAGUUCAGCAUCAGCCCCAAUGAACCCGCGCGGACUCCCAGAUCGUACAGCCUUCCUCUGGGGCCUUCUCCGACGGUGCCUCCGUACACCUCUCUGCCCAUCCAAUCGGUGUCGAAGAGAAGGAAAGGGAACCAGCCAAUCCAGUUGAGACACGUCACAAGGAGAAGCACCCACAUGGGCCUUCUCAGCUGCCUGAAGGCAUUCAUCAUCUGGGAAUAGAACGGUUG
rnacentral:lncRNA from 1 species